UGUUAGCGGGAGGGCGUUGCUAUGUCGCUUUCAUAUCUGACAACUCAGGCUUUAAAAGGCCGCUGUUUUUGGAGGAGGGAGGGAGGGAAGGAGAAGACGGGAGCAGCCGGGAAAAAAAGAAGAAAAGAAAAACCUCCACUUAGCUUUGAUGAAUGCCAUGGAUGUAUGUAAGGUGUCAAGCUAUGGAGGUGGAGUCCUUCGAGGAUGAAGAAGUUGCUAAAUGAUUGAAUGAUUCAUUUGUCAGUAUGAUGGAGGCCAACUUGUUAAUGUUUACUUGGAUACCUUUUCCAUUACAAAUUAACGAUGUCUUCUUCUAUUCUUGAUUAUUUGAAGAGAAACAUGAUUAAUGGAUCAGAAGGUAAAGUAUUUUCAGCA